AUAUAUGUUAAGUGGAAAAGGAUGUGGCGUUGCCCAGACAACUAGGAUGUUGGCUUAGAAGCAGCCAUCAUUUAAAGAGUGCGUAAUAGCUCACUAGUCGAGUGACACUGCGCCGAAAAUGUACCGGGGCUAAACAUAUUACCGAAGCUGUGGAUUGUCCUUUGGACAAUGGUAGGAGAGCGUUCUAAGGGCGUUGAAGCAUGAUCGUAAGGACAUGUGGAGCGCUUAGAAGUGAGAAUGCCGGUGUGAGUAGCGAAAGACGGGUGAGAAUCCCGUCCACCGAUUGACUAAGGUUUCCAGAGGAAGGCUCGUCCGCUCUGGGUUAGUCGGGUCCUAAGCUGAGGCCGACAGGCGUAGGCGAUGGAUAACAGGUUGAUAUUCCUGUACCACCUAUAAUCGUUUUAAUCGAUGGGGGGACGCAGUAGGAUAGGCGAAGCGUGCGAUUGGAUUGCACGUCUAAGCAGUAAGGCUGAGUAUUAGGCAAAUCCGGUACUCGUUAAGGCUGAGCUGUGAUGGGGAGAAGACAUUGUGUCUUCGAGUCGUUGAUUUCACACUGCCGAGAAAAGCCUCUAGAUAGAAAAUAGGUGCCCGUACCGCAAACCGACACAGGUAGUCAAGAUGAGAAUUCUAAGGUGAGCGAGCGAACUCUCGUUAAGGAACUCGGCAAAAUGACCCCGUAACUUCGGGAGAAGGGGUGCUCUUUAGGGUUAACGCCCAGAAGAGCCGCAGUGAAUAGGCCCAAGCGACUGUUUAUCAAAAACACAGGUCUCUGCUAAACCGUAAGGUGAUGUAUAGGGGCUGACGCCUGCCCGGUGCUGGAAGGUUAAGAGGAGUGGUUAGCUUCUGCGAAGCUACGAAUCGAAGCCCCAGUAAACGGCGGCCGUAACUAUAACGGUCCUAAGGUAGCGAAAUUCCUUGUCGGGUAAGUUCCGACCCGCACGAAAGGCGUAACGAUUUGGGCACUGUCUCAACGAGAGACUCGGUGAAAUCAUAGUACCUGUGAAGAUGCAGGUUACCCGCGACAGGACGGAAAGACCCCGUGGAGCUUUACUGUAGCCUGAUAUUGAAAUUCGGCACAGCUUGUACAGGAUAGGUAGGAGCCUUUGAAACGUGAGCGCUAGCUUACGUGGAGGCGCUGGUGGGAUACUACCCUA
rnacentral:rRNA from 1 species